rfam:Rattus norvegicus chromosome 17, whole genome shotgun sequence.
CCAAAGGCUCUUUUCAGAGCCACUAAAUAGUUCUUUUAAAAGGGCU